UUGCUGGAGGUAUCAGAAGUGCGAAUGCUGACAUAAGUAACGAUAAAGCGGGUGAAAAGCCCGCUCGCCGGAAGACCAAGGGUUCCUGUCCAACGUUAAUCGGGGCAGGGUGAGUCGACCCCUAAGGCGAGGCCGAAAGGCGUAGUCGAUGGGAAACGGGUUAAUAUUCCCGUACUUGGUGUUACUGCGAAGGGGGGACGGAGAAGGCUAUGUUGGCCGGGCGACGGUUGUCCCGGUUUAAGCGUGUAGGUGUGUGUUCCAGGUAAAUCCGGUUCACUUUAACACUGAGGCGUGACGACGAGGCACUACGGUGCUGAAGCAACAAAUGCCCUGCUUCCAGGAAAAGCCUCUAAGCAUCAGGUAACAUCAAAUCGUACCCCAAACCGACACAGGUGGUCAGGUAGAGAAUACCAAGGCGCUUGAGAGAACUCGGGUGAAGGAACUAGGCAAAAUGGUGCCGUAACUUCGGGAGAAGGCACGCUGACACGUAGGUGAAGUGAUUUACUCAUGGAGCUGAAGUCAGUCGAAGAUACCAGCUGGCUGCAACUGUUUAUUAAAAACACAGCACUGUGCAAACACGAAAGUGGACGUAUACGGUGUGACGCCUGCCCGGUGCCGGAAGGUUAAUUGAUGGGGUCAGCGCAAGCGAAGCUCCUGAUCGAAGCCCCGGUAAACGGCGGCCGUAACUAUAACGGUCCUAAGGUAGCGAAAUUCCUUGUCGGGUAAGUUCCGACCUGCACGAAUGGCGUAAUGAUGGCCAGGCUGUCUCCACCCGAGACUCAGUGAAAUUGAACUCGCUGUGAAGAUGCAGUGUACCCGCGGCAAGACGGAAAGACCCCGUGAACCUUUACUAUAGCUUGACACUGAACAUUGAGCCUUGAUGUGUAGGAUAGGUGGGAGGCUUUGAAGUGUGGACGCCAGUCUGCAUGGAGCCGACCUUGAAAUACCACCCUUUAAUGUUUGAUGUUCUAACGUGGACCCGUUACCCGGGUUGCGGACAGUGUCUGGUGGGUAGUUUGACUGGGGCGGUCUCCUCCUAAAGAGUAACGGAGGAGCACGAAGGUUGGCUAAUCCUGGUCGGACAUCAGGAGGUUAGUGCAAUGGCAUAAGCCAGCUUGACUGCGAGCGUGACGGCGCGAGCAGGUGCGAAAGCAGGUCAUAGUGAUCCGGUGGUUCUGAAUGGAAGGGCCAUCGCUCAACGGAUAAAAGGUACUCCGGGGAUAACAGGCUGAUACCGCCCAAGAGUUCAUAUCGACGGCGGUGUUUGGCACCUCGAUGUCGGCUCAUCACAUCCUGGGGCUGAAGUAGGUCCCAAGGGUAUGGCUGUUCGCCAUUUAAAGUGGUACGCGAGCUGGGUUUAGAACGUCGUGAGACAGUUCGGUCCCUAUCUGCCGUGGGCGCUGGAGAACUGAGGGGGGCUGCUCCUAGUACGAGAGGACCGGAGUGGACGCAUCACUGGUGUUCGGGUUGUCAUGCCAAUGGCACUGCCCGGUAGCUAAAUGCGGAAGAGAUAAGUGCUGAAAGCAUCUAAGCACGAAACUUGCCCCGAGAUGAGUUCUCCCUGAGACUUAGAGUCUCCUGAAGGAACGUUGAAGACGACGACGUUGAUAGGCCGGGUGUGUAAGCGCAGCGAUGCGUUGAGCUAACCGGUACUAAUGAACCGUGAGGCUUAACCUUAC
rnacentral:rRNA from 2 species